CGAAUGAGGAGAUUCAUCGUCAGCUUAUUCAGUAUUAAUGCAGGCUAUGAUGUGAUAAUAGAACCCUUGUGGUCACUAGAUUAUACUUGCUUGUAUUAUUUUUGCUGGGUAUGUCGGCGUCCACUUCUCCUCUAGUAGAACGUCCCAACCCGUUGGAUGUUUAUCUAUGGCUUGAAUGGUAGCCUUUGAUAUUUUUUAUAUUGAAGACCUUCGAUGUCCUGAUAAACUGUUUGACGGUAUACAUAUGGUAUUGAGCCGCAAUUAUUUGCGUUAGACUUGCCGCAAGUAUGACUUUAUUCUAGUAGUGCGGAUCUAAUGCCGUCGCUGGACAAAGUCUGCUGUUAGCUGUGU
rnacentral:rRNA from 1 species